rnacentral:rRNA from 1 species
UUCGGAAUAAUUCAGGGAAACUUGGACUAAUACCGGAUAAGCCCUUCGGGGGAAAGAUUUAUCGCCGAUAGAUCGGCCCGCGUCUGAUUAGCUAGUUGGUGAGGUAAUGGCUCACCAAGGCGACGAUCAGUAGCUGGUCUGAGAGGAUGAUCAGCCACAUUGGGACUGAGACACGGCCCAAACUCCUACGGGAGGCAGCAGUGGGGAAUAUUGGACAAUGGGCGCAAGCCUGAUCCAGCCAUGCCGCGUGAGUGAUGAAGGCCUUAGGGUUGUAAAGCUCUUUUGUCCGGGAAGAUAAUGACUGUACCGGAAGAAUAAGCCCCGGCUAACUUCGUGCCAGCAGCCGCGGUAAUACGAAGGGGGCUAGCGUUGCUCGGAAUCACUGGGCGUAAAGGGCGCGUAGGCGGACUCUUAAGUCGGGGGUGAAAGCCCAGGGCUCAACCCUGGAAUUGCCUUCGAUACUGAGAGUCUUGAGUUCGGAAGAGGUUGGUGGAACUGCGAGUGUAGAGGUGAAAUUCGUAGAUAUUCGCAAGAACACCAGUGGCGAAGGCGGCCAAC